GGAUGCGAUCAUACCAGCACUAAAGCACCGGAUCCCAUCAGAACUCCGAAGUUAAUCGUGCUUCGGCGACAGUAGUACUAGGAUGGGUGACCUCCUGGGAAGUCCUCGUGUUGCAUUCC
rnacentral:rRNA from 1 species